CUACGGAAGGCAGCAGUAAGGAAUAUUGCGCAAUGGAGGAAACUCUGACGCAGCGACGCCGCGUGGGUGAUGAAGGCCUUCGGGUCGUAAAGCCCUGUCGGAGGGGAAGAAAAGCCUGUUGGCUAAUAUCCAGCAGGCCUUUGACGGUACCCUCAAAGGAAGCACCGGCUAACUCCGUGCCAGCAGCCGCGGUAAGACGGAGGGUGCAAGCGUUGUUCGGAUUGACUGGGCGUAAAGGGCGUGUAGGCGGUCGGUCAAGUUUGAUGUGAAAGCCCGGAGCUCAGCUCCGGAAGUGCGUCAGAAACUAACCGGCUGGAGCGCGAUAGAGGAGGGCGGAAUUCCUGGUGUAGCGGUGAAAUGCGUAGAUAUCAGGAGGAACACCGGCGGCGAAGGCGGCCCUCUGGAUCGUUGCUGACGCUGAGACGCGAAAGCGUGGGGAGCAAACAGGAUUAGAUACCCCGGU
rnacentral:rRNA from 1 species